CCUACGGGGGGCAGCAGUGGGGAAUAUUGGGCAAUGGGCGAAAGCCUGACCCAGCAACGCCGCGUGAAGGAAGAAGGCUUUCGGGUUGUAAACUUCUUUUGACAGGGAAGAGCAGAAGACGGUACCUGUCGAAUAAGCCACGGCUAACUAUGUGCCAGCAGCCGCGGUAAUACGUAGGUGGCAAGCGUUGUCCGGAUUUACUGGGUGUAAAGGGCGUGUAGCCGGGCUGAGAAGUCAGAUGUGAAAUCCGGGGGCUCAACCCCCGAACUGCAUUUGAAACUGUUGGUCUUGAGUAUCGGAGAGGCAGGCGGAAUUCCUGGUGUAGCGGUGAAAUGCGUAGAUAUUAGGAGGAACACCAAUGGCGAAGGCAGCCUGCUGGACGACAACUGACGGUGAGGCGCGAAAGCGUGGGGAGCAAACAGGAUUGGAUACCCUUGUAGUC
rnacentral:rRNA from 1 species